GAAAUGCGAUAAGUAAUGUGAAUUGCAGAAUUCAGUGAAUCAUCGAAUCUUUGAACGCACAUUGCGCCCGCCAGUAUUCUGGCGGGCAUGCCUGUCCGAGCGUCAUUUCAACCAUCAAGCCCCCGGGCUUGUGUUGGGGACCUGCGGCUGCCCGCAGGCCCUGAAAACCAGUGGCGGGCUCGCUGUCACACCGAGCGUAGUAGCAAUCACCUCGCUCAGGGCGUGCUGCGGGUUCCGGCCGUUAAACAGCCUUACAAAACCCAAGGUUGACCUCGGAUCAGGUAGGAAGACCCGCUGAACGUAAGCA
rnacentral:misc_RNA from 1 species